rnacentral:rRNA from 1 species
GCUUAACACAUGCAAGUCGAACGAUGAAGCCUGCAACUUGUUGUGGGUGGAUUAGUGGCGAACGGGUGAGUAAUACGUGGGUAACCUGCCCUCCUUUUUGGGAUAAGCCUUGGAAACGGGGUCUAAUACCGAAUAUUCUGGCGCUCUCGCAUGGGGGUGUUGGGAAAGCUUUUGUGUGAAGGGGGAUGGGCUCGCGGCCUAUCAGCUUGUUGGUGGGGUGAUGGCCUACCAAGGCGGUGACGGGUAGCCGGCCUGAGAGGGUGACCGGCCACAUUGGGACUGAGAUACGGCCCAGACUCCUACGGGAGGCAGCAGUGGGGGAUAUUGCACAAUGGGCGAAAGCCUGAUGCAGCGACGCCGCGUGGGGGAUGAAGGCUUUCGGGUUGUAAACCUCUUUCGCUAUCGAACAAGGCCCNUUUAGGGUGGGUUGAGGGUAGGUGG